UCUCUCUUGAUCCCAAAGGACAAAGAGGAAAAGAUAGAACCAGAAAUAAGGCCCAGUCUUGUACAAAUAAGUACCAAAUAAGGGUUUUUGUAAUAGAUGUCCUUUUCAUUUGUCUUACAAGUGGGCAGUGUCUGAGCGGACUGAAGUGUUCCCAGGUGUUGGGCACUUGGGGGUCCAUGAGGACUGCCUGUGCUCUCAUCUGGGCCUUUAGGAACGGAUCCAGCUUUCAAUACAUUGUCGGCUGUUCCUGUGACAGAUCUCAUCUACAAUAGGUGGCUUUGAAAGUUUAAGUCCCUCAUCAAAGGUGGAAAUGUCCUUGGAUCUGCCCCAGCCAAAGGCCGGAAAUGAAAAUGGGAAGUUCUGGAUUCUGUCAUGGUUUCUCCUAAUCUCUCUUCCCCUAAUGAUUUGUCCUUUCCUGGCCCUGGGAUUGGCUCCUUCUAAACUUCCGUACUUGCAAAGGUGCCAACCAGAAGGACUUGGAAGCCUAUGCUAGUUUGGAGCAUGCAAGAAUUUUCCUAAAAAUCUUUCCAGAAAUCUACUCUCUGUCAACACUACACUACAAUAUUGAAAAUGUAAGCAGACGUAUGGCCUCUCCCCAUCUCCCACUCUGCGACCUGCAGAUGAGGGAAAGCUUCAGCCAGAUUGGGAUUAAAAGACUCCUCUUUACUCUUGUGAUCAAAGCACACUACCAGCCACAAGCCGUGUCAGCAUCGCACCCUCCCGAUUCAGCCUGCUGACCGUUUGCCCAACAUUACUUCCACCGGAUUCUUAUAAAAUGUACAACCUACAUCUAACCGUGAGAAACAUCAAACCAACUCAGACUGGAGAACUGUCUAUAAAGGAGCUGUCAAGCCUCGACGUGAUGAAAGGCAAGAAAAGAAGUGUCACAGAGGAUGGAAAGCAGGACCUGGAGACACAAAUGUGUCAUUCCUGAAAAACGGGUUAAAAGCUCACAGAGGACCCACAGUUUGAUACAUGGCUUUUUACCCUAGUAAAUGUCAUUGUCUAGAUCAUUGUCUGCAGUUACAUCAUAGGAUGUUAACACUAGGGGAUCCUUGUAAAGGUAUUCGGGAACUCUUGUACCAUCGUUCAGAUGGCCUGAAAUUAUUUCAAAAUAAAUAGUUUGAGCCAGG
rnacentral:lncRNA from 1 species